rnacentral:rRNA from 1 species
GACGAACGCUGGCGGCGUGCCUAAUACAUGCAAGUAGAACGCACAGUUUAUACCGUAGCUUGCUACACCAUAAACUGUGAGUUGCGAACGGGUGAGUAACGCGUAGGUAACCUGCCUGGUAGCGGGGGAUAACUAUUGGAAACGAUAGCUAAUACCGCAUAAUAUUGAUUAUUGCAUGAUAAUUGAUUGAAAGAUGCUAUUGCAUCACUACCAGAUGGACCUGCGUUGUAUUAGCUAGUAGGUGAGGUAACGGCUCACCUAGGCGACGAUACAUAGCCGACCUGAGAGGGUGCUCGGCCACACUGGGACUGAGACACGGCCCAGACUCCUACGGGAGGCAGCAGUAGGGAAUCUUCGGCAAUGGACGAAAGUCUGACCGAGCAACGCCGCGUGAGUGAAGAAGGUUUUCGGAUCGUAAAGCUCUGUUGUAAGAGAAGAACGGGUGUGAGAGUGGAAAGUUCACACUGUGACGGUAUCUUACCAGAAAGGGACGGCUAACUACGUG